GGCCUCGUGGAGUAAUGAAGCUCGCUCCUAUGCAGUAUUGGGCAAUGCUUCCAUUACCUUGGGAUAAUCGGUGGUUCGAAUCCACCCGAGGACA